rnacentral:misc_RNA from 1 species
UAGCAGUUAUGUGCCAGC